AAUGAAUUGCCUGAUAAAAAGGGUUACCUUGAUAGGGUAAAUUAUGUAAAAUUUUUACAUUCAUUA
rnacentral:tRNA from 1 species